rnacentral:misc_RNA from 1 species
GGCCAGACUCCCGAAUCUGGCC